CUGUUCUCACUCAGGGUCAUCUCUGCCACAAAAACCUCCUCCAGUUGUGGCAUCUCUUCCGUAGCGNNNNNNNNNNUUGAGAAAAGGUGGUUUCUAAGUGUCCUGUUCUCGCCAACCUGAAUGAUGAGUCGUAAUAUUUCCUUCUGAGCGUGAAGCUGAACAGAGAGUAAUGGAUUUUGUUUCAUAGGUUCUAUCUGUCUUGAUGAUUGUCUUUACUUCUUUGGAGUAUUGAAGGAAGGGAAUAGGAUCAGAGUGGG
rnacentral:snoRNA from 1 species